GAUGAACGCUGGCGGCGUGCCUAAUACAUGCAAGUCGAGCGAACGGACGAGAAGCUUGCUUUUCUGAUGUUAGCGGCGGACGGGUGAGUAACACGUGGAUAACCUACCUAUAAGACUGGGAUAACUUCGGGAAACCGGAGCUAAUACCGGAUAAUAUUUUGAACCGCAUGGUUCAAAAGUGGAAGACGGUCUUGCUGUCACUUAUAGAUGGAUCCGCGCUGCAUUAGCUAGUUGGUAAGGUAACGGCUUACCAAGGCAACGAUGCAUAGCCGACCUGAGAGGGUGAUCGGCCACUCUGGAACUGAGACACGGUCCAGACUCCUACGGGAGGCAGCAGUAGGGAAUCUUCCGCAAUGGGCGAAAGCCUGACGGAGCAACGCCGCGUGAGUGAUGAAGGUCUUCGGAUCGUAAAACUCUGUUAUUAGGGAAGAACAUAUGUGUAAGUAACUGUGCACAUCUUGACGGUACCUAAUCAGAAAGCCACGGCUAACUACGUG
rnacentral:rRNA from 1 species